rnacentral:rRNA from 1 species
ACUGAAAAUCUUCGGAAUUGUAGUCUGGAGAAGCGAAGUCAGCGAAGUCCACCGGCAAAGUCUUCUGGAACGGAGCACCAAGGAGGGUGAUAGUCCCGUCUAUGCCAGGUGGAGGGAGCGUACGACUCGCUUUCAAUGAGUCGAGUUGUUUGGGAUUGCAGCUCUAAGCGGGUGGUAAAUUCCAUCUAAAGCUAAAUAUUGGUGGGAGACCGAUAGCGAACAAGUACCGUGAGGGAAAGAUGAAAAGAACUUUGAAAAGAGAGUUAAAUAGUACCUGAAAUUGCUGAAAUGGAACCGAUGGGAGGCAGUGUUGGCUCGUGUUCAUUUGGACAUUCCGCUUGCGGGGUGUUCGUGUGGGCGUGAGCAAGUCAGGCUCUCUUUGACGAGCGGGAGAGGUCUCAAACCUGUUAGGGUUGAGGGUGCCGUCGCUUGUUGGAGAGACUUUGACGAAAUGCCUCUUAUCAUCCCGUCUUGAAACACGGACCAAGGAGUCUAACAUGUGUGCGAGUGCUCGGGGUUCAUCCCCCAGCGCGGAAUUAAUGUGAAGGCGAACUUGUUCGCUGAGGUAGGAUGCUUCGGCUGCACUAUCGACCGACCAUGAUCCUUCGGGAGAAAGGUUUGAGUGUGAGCAUACAUGUUGGGACCCGAAAGAUGGUGAACUAUGCCUGAGUAGGGCGAAGCCAGGGGAAACUCUGGUGGAGGUCCGCAGCGAUUCU